UCUGACAUGCCACCUCGAGAUUUUAACCAAGGAAAGACAAGUUGAUGUGCUUUGAUUUGAGGGGUCACUCACUACCGAACGAAAAUUAGGGACAUCGCUAUGAGAAGAAACGUUAACAUUGUCGCCUAUGGGAAAACAAUUAGUGGACUGUACCCAUAUUAGGAAGCCUAUAAGUUCAUGGUGAUUGGUACAGGAAAAACAUGAGGUCCAUGCAGAUGGUGUUUAAAACUAUUGGCCAGCAAAUGCACACCCAUUUGAAUACAUCUUGAAAAAGAACCAGCAAAAUGUGACAGUCGGCAAAAUAUAGGUUCCCGCAGACAGACACAUUUGCCGGAAACCGAAUCUGACAUGCCACCUCGAGAUUUUAACCAAGGAAAGACAAGUUGAUGUGCUUUGAUUUGAGGGGUCACUCACUACCGAACGAAAAUUAGGGACAUCGCUAUGAGAAGAAACGUUAACAUUGUCGCCUAUGGGAAA